UUCCUUCAGAGCCAGGAGAGA
rnacentral:misc_RNA from 1 species